rnacentral:rRNA from 1 species
UACAGAGGUCUCAAGCGUUGUUCGGAUUCAUUGGGUUUAAAGGGUGCGUAGGUGGGCAAGUAAGUCAGUGGUGAAAUCUCCGGGCUUAACCCGGAAACUGCCAUUGAUACUAUUUGUCUUGAAUACUGUGGAGGUCAGCGGAAUAUGUCAUGUAGCGGUGAAAUGCUUAGAUAUGACAUAGAACACCAAUUGCGAAGGCAGCUGGCUACACAAAUAUUGACACUGAGGCACGAAAGCGUGGGGAUCAAACAGG